rnacentral:rRNA from 1 species
GAUGAACGCUAGCGGCAGGCCUAACACAUGCACGUCGAGGGGUAGCAGGAUUAAGCUUGCUUAAUUGCUGACGACCGGCGCACGGGUGCGUAACGCGUAUGCAACCUACCUUAUACUGGGGUAUAGCCCGGAGAAAUUCGGAUUAAUCCCCCAUAGUACUAAUGAAUCGCAUGGUUUAUUAGUUAAAGCAUUGCGGUAUAAGAUGGGCAUGCGUCCUAUUAGCUAGCUGGUGAGGUAACGGCUCACCAUGGCUACGAUAGGUAGGGGGCCUGGGAGGGUGGUCCCCCACACUGGUACUGAGACACGGAGCAGACUCCUACGGGAGGCAGCAGUGAGGAAUAUUGGUCAAUGGGCGCAAGCCUGAACCAGCCAUGCCGCGUGCAGGAAGAAUGCCCUAUGGGUUGUAAACUGCUUUUAUUUGGGAAUAAACCUCUUUACGUGUAGAGAGCUGAAGGUACCAAAUGAAUAAGCACCGGCUAACUCCGUGCCAGCCGCCGCAGUAA